GGUCCUAUCGUAUAGUGGUUAUUAUUCCUGACUGUCGAUCAGGAGACAGGGGUUCAAUUCCCCUUAGGACCGCCA
rnacentral:tRNA from 1 species